UAUCAUCCCUUGCUAAUAUCAU
rnacentral:miRNA from 1 species